UAGCUUGCAUCAGGAGUCCAAUUCAAGAAGGGCCUUUGAAGUUUGUAAAGUAAAGGUAAUUUUUUGCAUCUCUCGAGGUAAUGUGUAGAUUCUCCCUGCAUAAUGGUGUCCACUCCAACCUGGCAGCUAUUCAGAGGUUUCUAGGAAGCAUCUCAUAGUAGGCAGAAGUGUGUGGAGACAUGCAGGCUUUGAAAAUUGAAUUGGUGACACAUGAGAGGAAGAGAAGUUGGCUUCGCUGCAAAACUUUAGUAUGAACAAGGGGUAAUGACAUGAUAGCACUGUCCCAAACAAGCCUGAGACACUGUGAUUUUGGUUGAUGAAAACAACAGAUCUCAUUCUUGUUUGUGUGUGUGUGUGUGUGUGUUAAAUCAGAUCCUCCUUCCCUACCUUUGAACUUGGGUGAUUUGGAGUCAUUUAUGUGUAUUGCCUCAUGACUAAUUUUAUUAAACUUCUACCAAUCCAGUGAACACGAGCUCAGGCUGAAUGUGUCAUUACUCUAAAAAAUGUUUUAUCAUGCUGGCACCUUAACUUAUUACUUUAUCCUUUGCAUUGAAUUUCCCACACUUUAUUAAAAAAUAAUAUGACAACAGCAUUCCAAUUGUUACUGCAUUUUAUGACUGCAUAUUUGUUUUCACAGAAUUGAUUGAAGUGAUAAUGUGUAUUUUUUCAAUGCUUUAUGGAAAAUGAUUUCUUUCCCUUUGUCCAGAACUAAAGAAAAAAUUAUAGAUCAUAAUUAAAAUCUUCAUUUUUCUCUAUCCUACCAUGUUCCUUCUUUCUUUUUAUCUAACCUUUCUACU
rnacentral:lncRNA from 1 species